ensembl:lncRNA
UUUAAUAAACUGCAUUUCAAAAACCUUUUUCGAAUUGCACUUUAAUAAAGGUCCGUGUACUUUUCGGUAUUUGAAGUUUUGUUUCAGAAACCAAAACGAAAAAACGAUAUUUAAAAGAAUUUUCAUUUUUUUAAUUUUUGAUAAAGAAUAAAAUGGGCGAAAAUAACUUGUUUUUUCAUUCGGUGGUAACAAAUAGCCGUCAUACACUUAAAAUUAGACGUGCUUUUUUGGAUUUCUUCGUGAUUCAAAUAAUGAAAGUAUACUAGCGCAAAAACAAAAAAAUAGACGCAUUUUCAAUGUCUGAAACGGGAAGUACUUCUUCUGCGCGUUUUUUUAUGGCGCGCGCACACCGUCCCCCACACAAGAGAUCGACGGCCUUAAAGUUACACUGGAAUAAACAGAGGAUGGACCAUUACGUUGUUUUUAGGAAAACUAAGAGAGUGACACUCCGGGACGAAGACAUGACUGCAGAAAAACUGGGUCGCAUCUUUCAGGUAUCCGCGCAUACUCUGUACAUCACGGAUGAUUCAAACGUGGCUAUGUUCCCCGGUGCGGUCUCUGGUGUUUUCAGCGCAUUAGACCUUACACCCAGAGGUCACUAUGAAGUCCACGGAGAAGACAUGGAGUCAAUUCCAACAGCAGGUUCCAGCGGGCAGCGUUUUGCAUUUAUGCGAGCACCAGCUGUGGCAGCGUCUGCACCUUCACGUUCACAGCAGGCUACUUCAAGUUCCCCUAUGUCCUCCAAAACAUUUCAGAGAUCAGUGUACUUUGCAGAUGUAGUUGGUGGGAGGUUGAUUCCCAAUAGAAUGGUGGUUGUACGAUUCCUGGAGUCUGAGGCUACGCUUCAAGGGAUAGUAGGAAAAGUGCAAGAUGCCAUUGGUAAUUACAACCCAAUAAUUUUGACAGAUGCACAGGGCAAUGCAAUUCUGGAGUCGGAGGGCACAACAGGGUCACAGUACUGGAGACAAAAUGCACGAAAAAUUCUUGCUGUGCCUGAACAAGACUUUAAUUGCCUCCAGGGAACAAAGAGGAAGAAACUGAGCAGCCGUAAAGAUGAUGACAGUGCCAGUUUGGGAGAAGUGAGUGACAAAAUAGAAGAGUUGGUGUUGGCAUCUCAAAGUCUGCCAGCUGUCACAGCAGCAAUCAAAGAGCUCACUGAUCUUGCAGUUGCCCAGAAAGUCACAACCCCCAAGCUGCAGACACUCAAGGAGGGAUUUAGCUGCGUGGUUUGUAUGAGUAUGUUCAAAUGUUGCUUAGUAAAUACAUUACAUCUACACUAACAUUUUAAUUACAAUUAAAACAAUGUCAAACCACAUUCAAUCAUUACUUUGGACAAACAUUUUUUUACCAAACAUAGGCUCUUUAUUCAGCAGUGUCCAUUUAAAUACUUAGGCACAGACAAUCAAGAUGCAGGUCUACUGUAACAUAACAUUCAAAAGUUUACAUGCACAUUUAAUUUGGGUUCUCCUUGCAAUCUUGACUAUGAAAGUAUAGCUUUUCAAAUUGAUUACAAUGUCAGUAUGGGUGACGGUACACUGUUCACAGUAAUGUAAAACUAAAAAGUUCACAUUUAAAAUGGGACUGUAGUUGCAUAUAUUGAAUCAAGUACCUGUAACUUUUUCAUUUUUCUUGCUUGCUAAUUGAGAAAAUGUACUGAUUUUGCCCCUCAUCAAUUAUAGACAAAAAUAUAGACAGGGACUUUCUCAGAACAGCGUGAACAAGAGUAAUUACAGAAUAACCAAAAAUAUUCUGCAUGCUGUCUGUAAAUUUAUGUCAAGACUGACUUUGAACCUAUAGUUUGAACUAAAUUCAACAUAAAUGGAUAACAGUCUCACUUAUCUGAUUUACUUUUGCAGACAUCAUUGAGGAUCCAGUGUUCUCACUGUGCUGCAGAAGCAUUAUUGGCUGCAAGACAUGUGUGGAACAGUGGCAAGAGACAUCACAGCACUGUGCAAAAUGCAGGGAGAGUAACAACGGAGUUCUACAAAUUACUGGUCUAACAGCUGCAUUUUCUGUAUUGAAAUCUUUUUUUGCAGAGGAGUAAUGUAGUGUGUACACACAAAUGUUUACAGUCAGUUGAUUUUUUUUUUUGUCUGUUCUGUACAGUUUACAGAUGCAGUGGUUCAUACAUUUCUCUGAGUUAUGUUUAUGAGACAGAGCAGAGCUUCUUUGUAUGGCAUAAAGUCACCAUUUACGGCUCUAAAAAACAAAUGUGAAAUAUCAGGAUAUUUUUCUGCAAAAUGACUCUCUGUUCUAAGUUUGUCCUGUUCGGUUGUGAAGGGAUCAACUCCAAAAGUCGAAUAUUCUUUGAGUGCAGAUCCCAAGUGCUGCCUGUAAAGGUCUGCUGCUUCAAGUGCAUUUGGCAAGAGCUCUGGAGAAAUUCUUCUUUUACACCCAUGUUCUGCAAAGUGAUUUGGUAUGCCUUUUCCUGUAAAAAAUAGAGGAGGUGUUUAAAUGUUCAUUAUCAGGGUUGUAAGCAAUCUGACUUUUUUUUUUUUUUUUUUUACCUGGGAUUCUAUGAGCAUUCCAUGAUUCUACCACACUUGCAAGACCAAUGUUACACAGCUGACAGGUUAGAUUGGACACACAGUAUCGCACAAGGUUAUCCUCCAUAUCUAUCUCCUCCUGGUCCAUCAGCUGGAGUAGGGCAGUUUUUAGUGGGUAGUUGACACGGUUGUUGAUUUCAGGCCAAAUCCUUUCAACUGUGUGGUUCUAAAAGAGUUAAAAGAAACAUGUCUUAAAUGUACGUAGUAGUACACGUAAUAGUAUAAGAAUUUCAGCUGAUGUUAAUGGUACUUAAAUCUUACUCUUGUGGAUGAGGUCUGUAAAUAAGGCAGUCUCUCCUGAUUGAAGCGAUGAUGUGACAGCAUCUCUUGCAUGAACAGUGUUAAAUAAAAUUCCUUUCCAUGGUCUACUCGCACCUGGUCCCACAUACCAUAGGUGAUCACUGCAGGUCUGGUACAGGAAAAAUAAAGAACAUUUAUUAACUAUUUUGCUUUAAGACCAGCAAAGGUGUUAUUAUUUUGAAUGUAUUCAUUCAUGUUUUUUUUGGGUAAUAUUUUAGUUGUAGUAGGACAACAUAUAUUUCUUAAGUUUCUUUGCAAUGUCACUGUCAUGCUCAGACUUUAGAUGUAUGUCAGAACAAUUGAAAGAUAUGUGGAAAUCCAAGAACCUUGUUCCAUUCAUAAAUGAACACUGAUUAAUUGCAAUAAAGUAGUUAAAUGAUUCAUGUGCAAUUCCAUUUUAUUUAUUUUUACAUUAAUAGAAAAUGUUGAUCAAAAUGUUUGGUAAGUUCUUAAUAUAUUAUAUUCAGGAACAUAACCAGACCCAUCUGUUGCAUGUCUAAUUUAAAUUCAAAUAUUGUAAAUUUGGGUGCAGCUCAUGUCCAAUAUGACUAACAUGUCCAUCAAAACACUUAAGAUGAAAUAAAUGGUUUGAGAGGUUGUAUUACCUGAAAACAUAUUCAUAGAUGCUCAAGUUGUUUUUGAUUGGCAUUGUGGAAUGACUCACAAUCUUUUUACUGAAUCCAUCUACAGCUAAAACAUGGGUGACUCCAAACAUUACAAGUUUCUCGUUUUGGUCCAGGUGAACCUUGUGCCCCAUGCAUUCAGCAUGGUACGGUGUGGGAUUAAGAUUCCGAGCUCCCUUACAAAAAAAUCACAAAAAUAAAUGACAGCUGACUGGAUAAAGGCAGAUUUGAUCAUACGUUUGAGGAAGAGUCAAGUAACUGUUAAAGCAGGGCGUACAUCUGUUAAACAGAAUUAGGCCCUACCAUUACAUGAUGUAUAUCACAAAUAUGACAAAGAACAUUGGAAUACAGUUCUAGUGGAAGAUUAAAUAACAUAGGCUACCUGGCGUCUUGCUUCAUGAUAAGGUUGAUGCACCUCUCUUAAAAUUGACCCAAUUCGUCCCUCUGCAGCAUGUACCCCUUUUGUGGACAGAUAGCCCUUCAUCAUUUUGCGGCCAUAUGUUGGGCCCACCUGUUUAAAAUAAAAGAUCAUGCUACUACUAGAACAACAAAUGUAAAGUAGCUUAUUCUGAAAGCAAAUGUGUAAAGCUAAAGUAUUGUGCUAAUUAACUGUACAAAUACCAGUGAGAGACAUCUUUAAAAUAACUAACGUUACCCACCACCCGCAAGACGCUAAAACGCGCGGGCGCGCGCACACAGUCUAGACUAACCCCCUUACAACCCAGUUAAGACAACCAUACACAGUCAUAAGGUGAAGGAAGAAAGUACCUUACCUCAUUUAUAGCUUGUGUCACCUCAAGCUCCAACCGUGUGUCCGAGAGUCGACAGCUAGUGAUUUGCUCAGCACAAAACUUUCUAACAUUUCUCGCAGAAAAUCCUCUCACUUCCCCGUGUUCAUAUGACAGACGCUCUGAUAUAAUUUCCGAUGACAGGCCUUGUUUUGCCAUCUCCAUGAUCACGUCUGAGUAUUUUUCCAACGUCAUGAUGUCCACACUACAGUGUUUGCCAUAAGUUUGCGCAUCACUUGUACAGGUUGUUGACCUACUAAAACUUCCGGUUCAGACAAAAUAAAUAAAGGGCCCUUUCUCGUUCUUUUUUCUUGGGUUUUUCGUUUCUGAUGUGCGAAAGGACAAAAUGAAAAAAACAAUUGUUUUACGUUUUUCAUUUUAGCUUUUUAAGUUGAGAAUUAAAUAAGUGUCUCAUUUUCUUUUUUAAAUUAUACUUUCUGAAACGAAACUUCAAAUACCGAAAAGUACACGGAUUAAAUAAACUUCAUUUCAAAAACCUUUUUUCAAAUUGCACUUUAAUAAACUGCAUUUCAAAAACCUUUUUCGAAUUCCACUUUAAUAAACUGCAUUUCAAAAACCUUUUUUCGAAUUGCACUUUAAUAAACUGCAUUUCAAAAACCUUUUUCGAAUUGCACUUUAAUAAACUUCAUUUCAAAAUCCUUUUUCGAA